rnacentral:lncRNA from 1 species
CGCAGUUGAGCGAAAACCCUCAUAGCUGAGCUUCAAGUGUGGAAUGGCUGCAGGGAACAGACUGGUUCGGCCAUGAGGGACAGAAGCAUUAGGAGGCACUCCUAACGAACUAUCCGCCUACUAGCCACAAAGCCUCCAGUCCUGCUUUCCUCACUUCUAGAGAUAAUCUUGGAGAGAGAGAAAGAUCCUGUCUCAAGGACCAGCCCAACGCUCAAGGUAGGACCAGAAGAUGCACCAUCAGAAGAUACAGCACGGACAGCUGAUGACACAGCUGCAGCUCAUGAAUUUUUACCAUGGAAGUUGCGGUAGGCAGAAUUCUAAGAUGCCCUCACCAACCCCCAACCCCUUCCUAGCCCCUGGUGUACAUGAGUCUUCUCCCAGAUAUUCAAUCAAACACCCAUCUAGGAACUGCUGUGGCGGCAUUUUGCAGAUGUUACCCACAUACACCCACAUUACAUUACACCCACAUGUAAUUAAGUUUCUAGAUCAGUUGGUAUCAAGAUAUUGAGAUUAUAUGGGGACAGUGAGGGGAGUGGGGCGCUAUCCAAUCACAGGAACCCUUUAAGAGCAGACAGUUGUCUCCAUCUGGUUACCGAAGAGGAAGUCAGAAAUUUGAAGUACAUGAAGGAUUUGAUGUGCCCUUGCUGGCUUGAAGACAGAGGGGUGUAUGUGGCAAGGGAUGUGGGUGAUAUCUAGAUGUGGAGGGCAGCUCUCAGCUAACAGCUAGCAAUGAAGCCAGGACCUCAGUCCCACAACCAAAAGGAAUUGAAUUCUGCCAAGAACAAGAAUAACUUCGGAAGUGAAUUUGCCCCAGAGCCUCCAGACAAGAACUUCACCCGGCCAGUACCUUGAUUUCAGCCUUCCCCGAGCAGAGAACCCAGUCAUGCUGCGCAAGAAUUCUGACACACAGAACGGUGAGCUAAUAAGCAAGUGUAGCUUUAAGCCACUAAGUUUGUGGCAGCUCAUUAUGUAUGCAGCAAUGGAAAACAGAGGGAACAAUGAAACAGGAGGGCUCAGUUCCUCCCCACCCACACAAAACUGCAGACUAUUCAUGGAGAAGUAGGCACCUGUGAAGAAGCAUUUCUCCCCAUGCCCGGAUCUUCACUGAAACAUGGACUGAAAGAUUUUAAGGGAAACAUCUACCAAUUGCAACAUAUGGACCUUAUAUGGAUCCCGAUUCAAACAAACAAAGAAAAAAUUAUGAGAUAAUUGGAAAAUUUGAACUCUGGUUGAAAAUUAACAAUAAUUUCUUAACAUAAAAUAUUCAAAGGUAUGAUAAUGGGUACAUAUACAUGGAUAUAGAUAUAUACAUAUAUAAUGAAAGGUUUGUGGGUGAAAUAAUGUAAAAUCUGGGAUUUGCUUCCAAAUCAUCUGGGUAGGGGUGGGGAUUAGUAGGUUUAUAGAAGAUGCAAAUUUGGCCAUGAGUUGAUGACUGUUGAGUCUGGGGUGAUGGGUGCCUGGAGGUUCAUUAUAUUUGUUCAUUAUGACAAAUACUUACUCUAUUUUGUGUUUUUGAAAUUUUUCAUUAAAAAGUAAAGAAGCCCACUUUCGCUGCAGUCUGAUUUCGAUGACUGAAACGGCAGCCAGGCCACGCCUCGCUGGGAGCUCCUCUGAGCGCCUCCUCCUCGCCACGCAGGAGCUGUUCCACGUGCAAGAGCCUUUCCCUCCGCUCCUGUCAUUCCUCUCAAGGCUUCUUGGCAGAAUUCCUACUGCUCUUAUUUAAUAUCAUCUCUCUUUACUAUUUCUGAACUCCAUUUCAUGCUUUUUCUAGUUAUUCCCAAUAAAGAAGAAACUGGAAAUUCACAUAUGCUGAGACUGAAAAUCUUGUUGCUGAAAGGGCAUACAGAAAUAGCCCGAGGAGUAGAGCUCUUCCCAAGAAAAGCUACUGGGGAAGGAUUUCUGCCUCGUUUUUCUUUAAAAUAAGGUCAUUUAACAUAAGUCUGAGGAAAGCAUAGUGAGCCACAUUUCAUUUUACUGUUAAUUGCACUUGAGCUGAGAAACAGAAGUAAUAAAA